rnacentral:rRNA from 1 species
GGAAGCUUUCGGGUGGAAUGAACUUAACUUAGCGGCGGACGGGUGAGUAACGCGUGGACAACCUACCCUGUACAGGGGGAUAACAAUGGGAAACCAUUGCUAAUACCCCAUAACACCUUUUAGGGGCAUCCCUUUAAGGUCAAAGAAUUUCGGUACAGGAUGGGUCCGCGUCUGAUUAGCUAGUUGGUGAGGUAAUGGCUCACCAAGGCGACGAUCAGUAGCCGGCCUGAGAGGGUGAACGGCCACACUGGAACUGAGACACGGUCCAGACUCCUACGGGAGGCAGCAGUGGGGAAUAUUGCACAAUGGGCGAAAGCCUGAUGCAGCAACGCCGCGUGAGCGAUGAAGGCUUUCGGGUCGUAAAGCUCUGUCCUAAGGGAAGAUAAUGACGGUACCUUAGGAGGAAGCCCCGGCUAACUACGUGCCAGCAGCCGCGGUAAUACGUAGGGGGCAAGCGUUAUCCGGAAUCAUUGGGCGUAAAGGGUGCGUAGGCGGCCCUAUAGGUCAGAGGUCAAAGGCUACGGCUCAACCGUAGUAAGCCUUUGAAACUGUAGGGCUUGAGUGCAGGAGAGGAGAGUGGAAUUCCUAGUGUAGCGGUGAAAUGCGUAGAUAUUAGGAGGAACACCAGUGGCGAAGGCGACUCUCUGGACUGCAACUGACGCUGAGGCACGAAAGCGUGGGGAGCGAACAGGAUUAGAUACCCUGGUAGUCCACGCCGUAAACGAUGAGUGCUAGGUGUCGGGGGUCGAACCUCGGUGCCGCAGCUAACGCAUUAAGCACUCCGCCUGGGGAGUACGUUCGCAAGAAUGAAACUCAAAGGAAUUGACGGGGACCCGCACAAGCAGCGGAGCAUGUGGUUUAAUUCGAAGCAACGCGAAGAACCUUACCUGGACUUGACAUCCCUCGGACCGCUUUUUAACCAAAGCCUUCCCUUCGGGGACUGAGUGACAGGUGGUGCAUGGUUGUCGUCAGCUCGUGUC